rnacentral:rRNA from 1 species
UACGUAGGCAGCAAGCGUUGUUCGGAGUUACUGGGCGUAAAGAGUGCGUAGGUGGUGCCCUAAGUCUGUUGUGAAAUCUCCCGGCUUAACUGGGAGGGUGCGGUGGAAACUGGGGUGCUGAGUGUGGGAGAGGUAAGCGGAAUUCCUGGUGUAGCGGUGAAAUGCGUAGAUAUCAGGAGGAACACCGGUGGUGUAGACGGCUUACUGGACCACGACUGACACUGAGGCACGAAAGCGUGGGUAGCAAACAGG